rnacentral:rRNA from 1 species
GAUGAACGCUGGCGGCGUGCCUAAUACAUGCAAGUCGAGCGAACGGACGAGAGGCUUGCUUUUCUGAUGUUAGCGGCGGACGGGUGAGUAACACGUGGAUAACCUACCUAUAAGACUGGGAUAACUUCGGGAAACCGGAGCUAAUACCGGAUAAUAUUUUGAACCGCAUGGUUCAAAGGUGAAAGACGGUCUUGCUGUCACUUAUAGAUGGAUCCGCGCUGCAUUAGCUAGUUGGUAAGGUAACGGCUUACCAAGGCAACGAUGCAUAGCCGACCUGAGAGGGUGAUCGGCCACACUGGAACUGAGACACGGUCCAGACUCCUACGGGAGGCAGCAGUAGGGAAUCUUCCGCAAUGGGCGAAAGCCUGACGGAGCAACGCCGCGUGAGUGAUGAAGGUCUUCGGAUCGUAAAACUCUGUUAUUAGGGAAGAACAUAUGUGUAAGUAACUGUGCACAUCUUGACGGUACCUAAUCAGAAAGCCACGGCUAACUACGUG